GUGUCAGCAGCCGCGGUAAUACGAAGGUCCCAAGCGUUGUUCGGAAUCACUGGGCGUAAAGGGAGCGUAGGCGGCGUGGUAAGUCAGAUGUGAAAUCCCGGGGCUCAACCCCGGAACUGCAUCCGAUACUGCCAUGCUAGAGGAUUGGAGAGGUAGCUGGAAUUCUUGGUGUAGCAGUGAAAUGCGUAGAGAUCAAGAGGAACACUCGUGGCGAAAGCGAGCUACUGGACAAUUCCUGACGCUGAGGCUCGAAGGCUAGGGUAGCGAAAGGGAUUAGAAACCCCCGUAGUCC
rnacentral:rRNA from 1 species